AGCUUUUCCAUGCAGUCAGCAUUAGGGUUUUAAACCAUAAACUGACCUUUUCCAUUAAAUCAGCAUUAGGGUUUUAAACCCUAAACUGAAUUUUUCCUUUAGUCAGCAUUAGGGUUUUAAACCCUAAACUGAACUUUUUUCCAUUCAGCCAGCAUUAGGGUUUUAAACCCCAAACUGAGCUUUUCCAUGCAAUCAGCAUUAGGGUUUUAAACCCUAAACUGAAUUUUUCCUUUAGCCGGCUUUAGGGUUUUAAACCCUAAACUGAACUUUUUUCCUUUCAGCCAGCAUUAGGGUUUUAAACCCUAAACUGAGCUUUUCCAUGUAAUCAGCAUUAGGGUUUUAAACCCUAAACUGAAUUUUCCUUUUAGUCAGCAUUAGGGUUUUAAACCCUAAACUGAACUUUUUUCCAUUCAGCCAGCAUUAGGGUUUUAAACCCUAAACUGAGCUUUUCCAUGUAAUCAGCAUUAGGGUUUUAAACCCUAAACUGAACUUUUUCCGUUAGUCAGCAUUAGGGUUUUAAACCCUAAACUGAACUUUUUUCCAUUCAGCCAGCAUUAGGGUUUUAAACCCUAAACUGAGCUUUUCCCUGUAAUCAGCAUUAGGGUUUUAAACCCUAAACUGAAUUUUCCUUUUAGUCAGCAUUAGGGUUUUAAACCCUAAACUGAACUUUUUUUCCAUUCAGCCAGCAUUAGGGUUUUAAACCCUAAAGUGAGCUUUUCCAUGUAAUCAACAUUAGGGUUUUAAACCCUAAACUGAAUUUUUCCUUUAGUCAGCAUUAGGAUUUUAAACCCUAAACUGAACUUUUUUCCAUUCAGCCAGCAUUAGGGUUUUAAGCCCUAAACUGAGCUUUUCCAUGUAAUCAGCAUUAGGGUUUUAAACCCUAAACUAAAUUUUCCUUUUAAUCAGCAUUAGGGUUUUAAACCCUAAACUGAACUUUUUUUCCAUUCAGCCAGCAUUAGGGUUUUAAACCCUAAACUGAGCUUUUCCAUGUAAUCAGCAUUAGGGUUUUAAACCCUAAACUAAAUUUUCCUUUUAGUCAGCAUUAGGGUUUUAAACCCUAAACUGAACUUUUUUCCAAUCAGCCAGCAUUAGGGUUUUAAACCCUAAACUGAGCUUUUUCAUGUAAUCAGCAUUAGGGUUUUAAGCCCUAAACUGAAUGUUCCUUUUAGUCAGCAUUAGGGUUUUAAACCCUAAACUGAACUUUUUUUCCAUUCAGCCAGCAUUAGGGUUUUAAACUCUAAACUGAGCUUUUCCAUGUAAUCAGCAUUAGGGUUUUAAACCCUAAACUAAAUUUUCCUUUUAGUCAGCAUUAGGGUUUUAAACCCUAAACUGAACUUUUUUCCAUUCAGCCAGCAUUAGGGUUUUAAACCCUAAACUGAGCUUUUCCAUGCGAUCAACAUUAGGGUUUUAAACCCUAAACUGAACUUUUUCCUUUAGUCAGCAUUAGGGUUUUAAACCCUAAACUGAACUUUUUUCCAUUCAGCCAGCAUUAGGGUUUUAAACCCUAAACUGAGCUUUUCCAUGCGAUCAGCAUUAGGGUUUUAAACCCUAAACUGAAUUUUUCCUUUAGCCAGCAUUAGGGUUUUAAACCCUAAACUGAACUUUUUUCCAUUCAGCCAGCAUUAGGGUUUUAAACCCUAAACUGAGCUUUUCCAUGCGAUCAACAUUAGGGAUUUAAACCCUAAACUGAAUUUUUCCUUUAGUCAGCAUUAGGGUUUUAAACCCUAAACUGAACUUUUUCCCAUUCAGCCAGCAUUAGGGUUUUAAACCCCAAACUGAGCUUUUCCUUCCAGUCAGCAUUAGGGUUUUAAACCCUAAACUGAACUUUUUUCCAUUCAGCCAGCAUUAGGGUUUUAAACCCUAAACUGAGCUUUUCCAUGCGAUCAGCAUUAGGGUUUUAAACCUUAAACUGAAUUUUUCCUUUAGCCAGAAUUAGGGUUUUAAACCCCAAACUGAGCUUUUCCAUGUAGUCAGCAUUAGGGCUUUAAACCCUAAACUGAACUUUUUUCCAUUCAGCCAGCAUUAGGGUUUUAAACCCUAAACUGAGCUUUUCCAUGCGAUCAACAUUAGGGUUUUAAACCCUAAACUGAAUUUUUUCUUUAGUCAGCAUUGGGGUUUUAAACCCUAAACUGAACUUUUUUACAUUCAGCCAGCAUUAGGGUUUUAAACCCUAAACUGAGCUUUUCCAUGCGAUCAGCAUUAGGGUUUUAAACCCUAAACUGAAUUUUUCCUUUAGUCAGCAUUAGGGUUUUAAACCCUAAACUGAACUUUUUCCCAUUCAGCCAGCAUUAGGGUUUUAAACCCCAAACUGAGCUUUUCCUUCCAGUCAGCAUUAGGGUUUUAAACCCUAAACUGAAUUUUCCUUUCAGUCAGCAUUAGAGUUUUAAACCCUAAACUGAAUUUUUCCUUUCAGUCAGCAUUAGGGUUUAAAACCCUAAACUAAAUUUUUUCCUUUCAGUCAGCAUUAGGGUUUAAAACCCUAAACUGAAUUUUUCCUUUAGUUAGCAUUAUGGUUUUAAACCCUAAACUGAACUUUUUUCCAUUCAGCCAGCAUUAGGGUUUUAAACCCCAAACUGAGCUUUUCCAUGCAAUCAGCACUAGGGUUUUAAACCCUAAACUGAAUUUUUCCUUUAGCCGGCUUUAGGGUUUUAAACCCUAAACUGAACUUUUUUCCUUUCAGCCAGCAUUAGGGUUUUAAACCCUAAACUGAGCUUUUCCAUUUAAUCAGCAUUAGGGUUUUAAACCCUAAACUGAAUUUUCCUUUUAGUCAGCAUUAGGGUUUUAAACCGUAAACUGAACUUUUUUCCAAUCACCCAGCAUUAGGGUUUUAAACCCCAAACUGAGCUUUUCCUUCCAGUCAGCAUUAGGGUUUUAAACCCUAAACUGAAUUUUCCUUUCAGUCAGCAUUAGGGUUUUAAACCCUAAACUGAAUUUUUCCUUUCAGUCAUCAUUAGGGUUUUAAGCCCUAAACUGAAUUUUCCUUUUAUCCAGCAUUAGGAUUUUAAACCCUAAACUGAACUUUUUUUCCAUUCAGCCAGCAUUAGGGUUUUAAACCCCAAACUGAACUUUUCCUUCCAUUCAGCAUUAGGGUUUUAAAUCCUAAACUGAACUUUUUUCCAUUCAGCCAGCAUUAGGGUUUUAAACCCUAAACUGAUCUUUUCCAUGCGAUCAACAUUAGGGUUUUAAACCCUAAACGAAUUUUUCCUUUAGUCAGCAUUAGGGUUUUAAACCCUAAACUGAACUUUUUUCCAUUCAGCCAGCAUUAGGGUUUUAAACCCUAAACUGAGCUUUUCCAUGCAAUCAGCAUUAGGGUUUUAAACCCUAAACUGAAUUUUUCCUUUAGUCAGCAUUAGGGUUUUAAACCCUAAACUGAACUUUUUCCAUUCAGCCAGCAUUAGGGUUUUAAACCCUAAACUGAGCUUUUCCAUGCAAUCAGCGAUUAGGGUUUUAAACCCUAAACUGAACUUUUCCAUGCAAUCAGCAUUAGGGUUUUAAACCCUAAACUGAAUUUCUCCUUUAGUCAGCAUUAGGGUUUUAAACCCUAAACCGAGCUUUUUCCAUUCAGCCAGCAUUAGGGUUUUAAAACCUAAACCGAGCUUUUCCAUGCAGUCAGCAUUAGGGUUUUAAAAUCCUAAACUGAAUUUUUCCUUUAGCGAGCAUUAGGGUUUUAAACCCUAAACUGAGUUUCUCUAUUUAGUCAGCAUUAGGGUUUUAAACCCUAAACUGAAUUUUUCCUUCAGCCAGCAUUAGGGUUUUAAACCCUAAACUGAACUUUUCCUUCAGUCAGCAUUAGGGUUUUAAACCCUAAACUGAAUUUUUCCAUUCAGCCAGCAUUAGGGUUUUAAACCCUAAACUGAGCUUUUCCAUGCAGUCAGCAUUAGGGUUUUAAACCCUAAACUGAAUUUUUCCUUUAGUCAGCGUUAGGGUUUUAAAUUCUAAACUGAACUUUUUCCUGUAAUCAGCAUUAGGGUUUUAAACCCUAAACUGAACUGUUUCCUGUUAUCAGCAUUAGGGUUUUAAACCCUUAACUGAAUUUUUCCAUUCAGCCAGCAUUAGGGUUUUAAACCCUAAACUGAGCUUUUACAUGCAGUCAGCAUUAGGGUUUUAAACCCUAAACUGAAUUUUCCUUUUAGUCAGCAUUAGGGUUUUAAACCCUAAACUGAACUUUUUCCUGUAAUCAGCAUUAGGGUUUUAAACCCUAAACUGAAUUUUUCCUUUAGUCAGCAUUAGGGUUUUAAACCCUAAACUGAACUUUUUCCUAUUAUCAGCAUUAGGGUUUUAAACCCUAAACUGAAUUUUUCCAUUCAGCCAGCAUUAGGGUUUUAAACCCUAAACUGAGCUUCUCCAUGCAGUCAGCAUUAGGGUUUUAAACCCUAAACUGAAUUUUUCCUUUAGUCAGCAUUAGGGUUUUAAACCCUAAACUGAAUUUUUCAAUUCAGCCAGCAUUAGGGUUUUAAACCCUAAACUGAGCUUUUCCAUGCAGUCAGCAUUAGGGUUUUAAACCCUAAACUGAAUUUUUCC
rnacentral:lncRNA from 1 species